GAACGCACCUUGCGCUCCUUGGUAUUCCGAGGAGCAUGCCUGUUUGAGUGUCAUUAAAUUCUCAACCUCACCAACUUUGUUGUGUGAAGGCUUGGAUGUGGGGGUUUGCAGGUCCGCACUCGUGUGGUCUGCUCCUCUAAAACGUAUUAGUGGGUUAGUCCCCUAAUCUAUUGGUGUGAUAAUUAUCUACGCCGUGGAUUUGGAAGGCUAUCAUAGACCUGCUUCUAACCGUCCUCUGGACAACUUUGACAAUUUUGACCUCAAAUCAGGUAAGACUACCCGCUGAACUUAAG
rnacentral:misc_RNA from 1 species